ensembl:snoRNA
UAAAAGUUCCCUCUACCCAGUGGGGCUUUUUCUAUAGACCUACAUCGCGGGAAAUGCCUUCUAGAGUAUAUGUGCAAUUUCCUUUAUUCACAGAACUUUGUGUUAGAUCUGUGGGAAAGACCUCCAGGACAUCU